UACGGGGGGAGCAAGCGUUGUUCGGAUUUACUGGGCGUAAAGGGCGCGUAGGCGGUCAGCACAAGUCAGUUGUGAAAUCUCCGGGCUUAACUCGGAAAGGUCAACUGAUACUGUGCGACUAGAGUGCAGAAGGGGCAACUGGAAUUCUCGGUGUAGCGGUGAAAUGCGUAGAUAUCCGGAGGAACCCCAGAGGCGAAGGCGGCCUGCUGGGCUGCACCUGACGCUGAACCGCGAAAGCCAGGGGAG
rnacentral:rRNA from 1 species